AUCACAAAAAAAAACAGAACAAACAAUACAAAAUAAUUAUGCUCCAGCAUGAAUGCAAAAUUCACGUUUCUAAACUUAUGAUAAAUUUUAAUUUGCUCAAAAUUAUUUAUUUUGCUAGAUUCAAAUGCUCACAAAAAUUCUUAAAUAAAUCCAAUUAAUUCCUAUUAAUUGAAAUUCACAUUUUGGGUGUUACAUCUCACUUGGGCUGCACUAAAGAGCUCCACUCAGUGAACUUAAACUAGCAAGCAAAGCAAGCUCUCAAAACUAAUUACACUAAAGAGCUUGCUACAACUAGUUUGCAAGAAUGUAAAGGAGUGAGUAGGAGCUUUUAUACCGUCAUGUAGAGAAGUUUACCAAUCAAUAUAAAUGUCAAUCAACCACCGGGAGAAAUCCAAAGAUGCAAGAAACAACACUUGGUGGUUCGGUGGCUAAGAGGUAUUGCAUGAACCUUGUCCUCACAUACUACACAAAUGAUUUGUUGGGAUCAAUAAAAAUAGGUCCAUUGUUGAAAGCUGGCUCCAUUCAAAAAAAUGCAAUAGAAUUGGUAUCAAUGCAACAAAAAAUAAAAAAAAUGUACAACCUUGAUGAAAAGUCAAAGGCUUCUAUUUCCUAAAAUAAUCAUGAAUACCGUUAUCCCUAAAGAUCCAUAGUAUACAAGAAUCAAAACAAUGUGACAAUCAUAUCUUUCUUUUCUUUGCUUCAAAAUCACUAUAAUUUUUAAGCACUGGUUUAUUUAAGUCUUGCUAGAUACUAAUCCAUAGCCUAUGGUUAUAUGGCUAGAUUUGUGGGCAGGCAGUCGGUCCACUAAAGUUGCCUUACCCACCAAUUUAUGGAGUGGCAUAAUUUCUAUAUAAUCCUGAUAGUUACAAAUUUUGAUGGAAUGUGUUUAGAGAGAAAGAGUAAAGGUCCUCCUUGAAAGUUUGUAGGAUGACUUAUCUUAGUCCAUGUGCGCGC
rnacentral:lncRNA from 1 species